GGGGAUGUAGCUCAGUGGUAGAGCGCAUGCUUUGCAUGUAUAAUGUCCUGGGUUCAAUCCCCAGCAUCUCCA